AUUGAACGCUGGCGGAAUGCUUUACACAUGCAAGUCGAACGGCAGCACGGGGCAACCUGGUGGCGAGUGGCGAACGGGUGAGUAAUACAUCGGAACGUGCCCAAUCGUGGGGGAUAACGUAGCGAAAGUUACGCUAAUACCGCAUACGAUCUACGGAUGAAAGCGGGGGUCGCAAGACCUCGCGCGAAUGGAGCGGCCGAUGUCAGAUUAGGUAGUUGGUGGGGUAAAGGCUCACCAAGCCGACGAUCUGUAGCUGGUCUGAGAGGACGACCAGCCACACUGGGACUGAGACACGGCCCAGACUCCUACGGGAGGCAGCAGUGGGGAAUUUUGGACAAUGGGCGCAAGCCUGAUCCAGCCAUUCCGCGUGCAGGAUGAAGGCCUCGGUUGUAACUAGCUUUGUUACGGAACGAAACGGUUAC
rnacentral:rRNA from 1 species